CUGCAGGAAGAUUGAUGUCCGAGAUGCCCGAAAUAUAAGAUAACGCUUGCAUUUAUUCCAAACUUAUUGUAUAAUACUAAAAGCGGACAGGGCUGAAUUGCGCUGUUUCGCGUACAGAUGCAGGUCCCGCGCGUGGGCAGCCUGUGAACCAUGUCAGGCGGGGAACCGAGCAGCAUUAAGCGGCGCUUGCCUAGUGCCGCGGUCAAGCCUGCAUCUGUACGCAAAGCAGCGCAGCCGCGUGCUCUGCCCGCUGUUUUUUGUAGCUUUGCAG
rnacentral:SRP_RNA from 1 species